GCCAGCAGCCGCGGUAAUACGUAGGGUGCGAGCGUUAUCCGGAAAUUUUGGGCGUAAAGAGCUCGUAGGCGGUUUGUCGCGUCUGUCGUGAAAGUCCGGGGCUUAACCCUGGAUCUGCGGUGGGUACGGGCAGACUAGAGUGCAGUAGGGGAGACUGGAAUUCCUGGUGUAGCGGUGGAAUAUAUAGAUAUCAGGAGGAACACCGAUGGCGAAGGCAGGUCUCUGGGCUGUAACUGACGCUGAGGAGCUGAAAGCAUGGGGAGCGAACAGGAUUAGAUACCCUGGUAGUCCAUGCCGUAAACGUUGGGCAGAUCGUGUGGGGAUCAUUCCACGGUUUCCGCGCCGCAGCUAACGCAUUAAGUGCCCUCGCCUGGGGAGUACGGCCGCAAGGCUAAAACUCAAAGGAAUUGACGAUCGCCCGCACAAGCGGCGGAGCAUGCGGAUUAAUUCGAUGCAACGCGAAGAACCUUACCAAGGCUUGACAUGUUCUCGAUCGCCGUCAGAGAUACGGUUUCCCCAUUUGGGGUGGGUUCACAGUGGUGCAUGGGUUGUCGUCAGCUCGAUGUCGUGAGAUGUUGGGUUAAGUCCCGCAACGAGCGCACCCUCGUUCCAUGUUGCCAGCACGUCGACCA
rnacentral:rRNA from 1 species